ensembl:rRNA 5S_rRNA 5S ribosomal RNA
GCCUACGACCAUAUCACCCUAAAUGAAAGGGAUCUCGUCUGAUCUCGGAAGCUAAGCAUGGUCGAGCUUGGUUAGUACUUGGAUGGGAGACUGCCUGGGAAUACCAGGUGUUGUAGGCU